CUUUAUUACAAAACACUGGUGAUUUCUUCUUAACAAUAAAAUGCUUAACAAUCAGUAAUAUUAAAAUAAUUCUUUUGGCAACCAUGGAGCAAGCAGAUAACUUCUGAGGAAACUGAGAUGUUUGUGUGCUGGUUUCAAUUCCCAGUGAUAGCAAUUUGUUUCACUUCAUUGAUGUCUGUAAGUACUGCAUGAACAUCAUAUUGUAUCUCUUUUAUCUAUUUUCUUCCUCUUUCCUAAAAGAUGUUAGGUUCGUGUCUUAGGGAAGACAUGAUAAGCUAUUUCAGUCUAGUCUGUUGGAGGUGGUACCAGAUAAAAAGUACUCAGUACACUCUUUAAAGUAACUGGCAUUAGGAAGGGCAUCCAGCCAUAGAAACCAUGCCAGGACAGACAAUGGAGCCUGGUGCAGCCCCUGGCCUAGCCAGUUCCUGUGAAACUGUCCAUCCUAUGCCAGCAUGGAAAAUAGACGUUAAAUGGUGGUGGUGGUGGUGGUGGUGGUAGUGGUGGCGGCGGCGGUGGUGGUAACAGUGGCGGUGGUGACAGUGGUGGUGGUAUUGGUGAUGAUAUGAACUGUCAUCACAGAGAUAAAUACACUAAGGCAAGAGUUACAGGAAACUAUGAAAGGAAACCUCACAAACGUAAUACUUAGAACCAAUUGCUACACUUUUUCAUAUUUGGCAAUACUACAAUACAGGACUUACUCCACUAUCUUUAUGAGAGUGUCUUUCUGAGCUAUACUUAUGGCUAUAAUUAAGCUCAGGACUUCACUUUUGCCACUGUCCUACAAAGGGAAAUACAAACAUCAAAAUAUCUCAUUCUACUCCUCUCCAUUGUCAAUCUGAAAAUGAUUAACAUCUAUUUAAAAAGUCAAUAUAUUUUAUUAGCCAUAGACAAGAAUUAGAAACCCAAGUAUAUAAAAACUACCCAGUGGGUAAAUUACUAGUUCGAUUCCUGGUCAUAGAAAUCUUUUGUUUCGUACCACUUAAGUUUAGUGGAAAGAUAUGGUUAUCCCAUUUUUCUAUUGUCUAAAAAUUCAAAGGUCUUGCAACUGAUUAAAGCAAAAAAAAAAAAUCUUUUGAUAAAUUGCUUUCAUUAUUUUGAUUCUGAAAUAUAGUUAUUUCUUUUCAUUGGAAUGAUGAAAAUCCUUGAGAAAGUGUCAGCUUCACAAUGUUCCAUCCUCUUCAUAUACAAGACUGUGGCUUUAUGCCUUUUAAGAAAUCAAUAUACUUAGACAAGAGAAACUAGAGACAAGUAAAUUAUGUACCUGUAAUCAAUAAUUUCUAGACAAUUAAUGGCAUCUUACAUAGUUUUUUGUGUUUAACCCUAAAUUUCCAUUAGAUCAAUCUCUGUUUUUGAGAUAUCAUUGGGAUUUAACUCAAUUUUCAAUAAACCUUGCUUAUAGUCAAAAUACAUCUUUAAUGUUGUUCUUCAGGCAAACAAAUGUUAUAAAGCAAAGAGACAAGCUUCUGGCAAUCUGAACUAGUGAUUCAGUUUCAAUUCCUAUGUGAAAUCAAUUCAAUUUGCUUUUUCCACUAAUUGUAUCAUCAGAGAAAAACAUGAAUAUUACACAAUGUUAUGCUAUUUCACUAUAAAUUAUGACUCUGCACUUGAGUAAGAAAUCAAUAUCAAAUUAUGAUACUUAAGUAAUGUAAUUCUUUAAUAAAAAUAAACUGCCCUACAGUAUUCAAUUUCACAUCUUUCCACAAUUUCCACACUCAGCAAAUGAUUUAUUCUGAAAGCAGCAUAGAGCAAAUGAAUAAAUUAACUUUAUAUUAAGAUAUAUAUUUAGUCUUGCUUUGAACUAAUUUUACAGAGCUCAUCAAGAGAACAUGAGGGUCUGACAAAUAAGGGAUCAUAUUAUAAACAUAAUUGGGUCUCAUUUAGCUUCUGUCAGAACCUUGUAUAACUCUAGGCAGAUUUUAUAUAUCUGAAUUUAAUCGUCUGAGGGUGUAUGUGUACACACACACACAUAUACAUACAUACCCAUAUACAUACAUACGUACAUACAUACGUUAGUGUGUACAUGCAUACAUACGUAUAUACGUAUGCAUGUAAGUACUUAUGUAUGCAUGCAUACAUGUGUGUGUGUAUGUAUGUAUAAAUAGACAGACAGACAGGCAAAUAUACAAAUAGAUGUAGAUACAUACAUACAUACAUUCAUACAUACAUACAUAUGAAGAUACAUAGAUACAUACAUACAUACAUGCAUACAUACAUUCGUACAUACAUACAUACGUAUGUAUGUAUGUAUGUACUUAUGUAUGCAAGCAUGCAUACAUGUGUGUGUGAGAAAGAGUAUGUGUAUGUAUGUAUAAAUAGACAGACAGACAGGCAAAUAUACAGAUAGAUGUAGAUAUAUACAUACAUGCAUACAUACAUACGGACAUACAUACAUACAUACAUAUGUACAUACGUACAUACGUACAUUCGUACAUACGUACAUACAUACAUACAUAUAUAAAUGCAUACACACAGACAUGCACAAGGGUGUAUUAUUCAUAAUAUAUAUUCUUAUACUUAAUUAACUCAUUUGAAUUAUCAGCCAUUACAUAAUUCUUUUUCUACACUUAUUGUCCAAUUAACGUCACCAGAUGAAUAAUCAUCAAUUUUUACAUGGACAUGUAGACAAUCUAAUUAACAAUUUUUUAUUGUUUCUGAAUACAUAGAAGCUAAAUAAGAUAUAACUAAGUUAAGAUCUCAGUCCUUUCAUUGUCAGGCCAACAUGUUCUCUCAGGAAAUUACAAUGUAAAAUUUGUUUAAGAGUAAGCUGAAAUUUAUAUUCAUAUAUAGAAAGAUUUGCAAAAAUGCUGGAAUAAGAAACAAACACUGAAUAGGAGCAGCAGUAGUGGCAGCAGUAGCAGUAGCAAAACACCAUCAACCACUAACCACCCCAAUCUUGUUAUUUAUGUAUUCUUUCAUUUAUUUAUCUAUGUAUUUAGGGUGUCAACAGUAAACUAUAAGCAUUGUAAGUUCUGAAGCAGAUAUCAUGUUUAGACUUAAGGAAACACUUCACCUCAGGUUAUAAAUUAUCUCCACUUAAUAUUUUGACUUCUUCCACAGCUUACAUAUUUACAGACAAAAAACAUAAGCACAUACACAUGAGCAUGCAGGAACAUGCAUGCAAACAUGCACGUGUGUACACACACACACACACACACACAAGCACACACAUACAGACAGCACAUACACACACAAAGAGAAACAAACAGUUCUUCCACAAAAUAUGAACACAAAAAAAUCAUACUUAAAAUAUAGCAUACUUACAAUGCAUAUACAUAGAUGUAUGUAUGUAUAUGUAUGUAUAUAACUAUAUAUAUAUGUGUGUGUGUGUGAAGAAGUGCCACUCCCAAACAGUUGAAGGAAUCCAGGGUGAGGUAGACUCAGGAAGACAUAGGAUGAGGUGGUCAAGCAUGACCAUCAAACAGUGGGCCUCACAAAGACAAAAGACAGAGUGGGGAACUCUGUCAAAAGUUUUUUCCAGGUCAACAAAGGCUAAGUACAAUGGCUUACUUUUGGCCAAGUACUUUUCCUGCAGCUGUCUCACUAAGAAUAGGGCAUGUGUGGUACUCUUUCCAGGUACAAAACCAAACUGCAUUUCAUCUAGUUUAAUUCUAUUUCUAAUCAAUUGAGUUAUAACCCUCUCAUUUACUUUCAUGACUUGGUCUAGCAAUUUAAUACCUCUGUACUUGUUUCUAUCUAAGGCAUCACCAUUACCCUUGUAGCAGCUAACUAUUAUACUACAACAGCAGUCAUUGGGGAUGGUGCCUUCCUGAAUAACCUGAUUGACUAUAUGGGUGACUAAACUAUAUCCUACACCACCAGAAAUUUUAAUCAUCUUGGCAGUGAUUCCUGAUGGCCCAGGGUCUUUCCCUGUCUUCACAUCCUUAAUUGCCUUAUCUAUUGUGCUGCUAUUGUCUCCAAUGGCUGGUCCCUCAAUUGGUUUCAUAUUUGGUAGAUUCUCUUUCUUCUAUUCAUUUUCCACACUUAGUAACCUUUCAUAGUGACACUUCCAUGCAUCUUUCUUCUCUGAAUCACUAAAUGCAAGCAUACCAUUAUCCAUUCGCACACAUUUCUCACCUACCACAUCUCUAUUUUCUCUGAUACACUGCUUCGCAAUCCUGAACACCUCAUGCCUCUGAUCCUCACACUGUAAAACAUUUGCAAAUCUCUUACCUUCAUCUACUCCUUUUGCUAUGUAUACCUGACACCUAGCUGCCCUUUUGGCUACCUAAUAUAAUUCUCUGUUUCCACCGUUUUUCCAGACUGAUCUUUUUGCUUUUAUAGCACUGUCAACCUCCUUGUUCCACCACCAUGACACCCUUGGUCUAACUGGGACUCUGCACCAACCACAGAUAUUGUCCAUAGCCCUCAGUAGAUUGUCCUGUAGAAAUUUCCAAUUGUCCUCUAAGUUAUAUGUCUCCAACUCUUCCUCACUUUUGUUAGAAGCUUUCAUUAGUAAAUCUCUAAAUUUUCGUCUGUUUAUUGGGUGUUUGAGCUUCCAUAGUCUAUAUAUAUGCAUUGAUGUAGUUCUUAGGUCCAUUGGAUCCUGUCAAACUAUUCAUCUCAUACCUACAUGGAACAUGGACAUUAAAUGAUGAUGAUGAAAAGUUCCUUUAUACACCCAGUAUAAAGAAAAUAUUAGUGGGUAAGCCAACACUGGUAUAAAUACACUGUGAAAAUUAUCUAAGGCAUUACAGCUAAGUUCUGGUUUGUAUUUGAUUUAAAUAGUGAUUGCUAUAAGUUCUCAUUUUCUCUUGCGUUUCUUCACUGUGUAGCCAUGUCAUCUGAGCCUGAAUGAUUGCUAGAUUGAGCUUGGUAUACUAUAUGAGCCAUCCAGUGACUGUACUGUCUAUGCUAAAAACUUGAAGUAGUUUAUAUGUAACCCCUGUAUUCAUCAAAUGAUACUUAUUCCUUGCUAGGUUAAGUACUUUUUUGCUGAUCCUACAAACAAGUGAGCAUUAUACUGGCACUUCCCAAAUUGCAUCUCCACUAUUGUCUGUCAUUCCCUACAUUCACCUCUGUCCCAAUUUCUGACCAACUGCUACUCUCCCUUCACAUUACCUUGAAUUUUGAGAUGCUGUGGCUUCUAAAGGCUGACAUGUCUAUUCUCUUACCAGGUACACCCAUCCAUGCCUUAAGGAUGCGAGGUAGCCAUGUAUCUGCUCUAUAAUAAGAUACUUGGGCUGUCCUCAGUCAUAUUUCUUUGCCCCUCAACACCUGGCAUACAACCAACUCCUCACCUCUGACAUUCCUCCAUCCCUCCCUCCCACUAAGUGAAGGGGACUUUUUCUUUGUGCUAUUUUUUUUCCCUUUCCUUCUACUGUACUUUCUUGUUUUGCAAGUUACUUGUUGAGUUCAUUAGUGCCGAUGGCGUAAGAAAAAUCAUUCAGUACAUACUGUAAAGUGGCUGGCAUUAGGAAGGGCAUCCAUUUGUAGAAACCACACUAAAGCUGCUGAGCUUUCACAGUCCUGCAGCUCACUAGAUCCUGUCAAAUUAUCCAACCCAUACCAGUAUGGAAAAUGGAAGUUAAAUGAUGAUAAUGAUGGCGAUGAUGAUGAUGAUGUUAUACAUAAAGAAUUUAGUUUCUAUACUGACUUCUAUUUUUUAUCAACACAUGUGUACAAACAAACUGAUGUAAUUUCUAACCAGACCCAUCACAUGAAACUGUGUAUGUGUUCUCCAUAUGUUUAUUGUUAAAAGUUUGAAUAGAACAUGACUGUCUGACAGAGAACUACAGAGAAAGUACAUUUUAUAUACAGUAGUGUGAUUGUGGACUGGUUCUUUAGUUAUGUGAGCAUGGAGAGAGAAAGAGAGAGAUAGAGCAGAGAGAGAAAGAAAGAGAGAGAGAGAGCAAAGAGAGAGAGAGAGAGAGAGAGAGAGUGUGUGUGUGUGUGUGUGUCAUCUGCCAAAGAGUAGCCCUUAAGCAAGAAACAAUACAGGUAGUUAAAUUUGCAGACUCUUCAUAUUUGACAUAUCAGGCUGUCAAACAUAGCUGAUUGCUGGAUUGCUGCAGCUAACAUGAUAUGAUGCUUGAUUGCAUUCACUCCUUUCACAAGUCUGCUCUGUUCUGCGAUCUUGUCUAUUUUCUUCCAGCUUAUAUUAAGCUUGACUGAUUUACCAUCAAUAACUUUGAUUCAUCAGCUUUUUGCUAACAUCAAUCAGUAAGUUUGAUGUAUAGUUGUUGAGAACCAUUAGUUAAUUUUUUUUAAUGAUAUCAUCAGCUGAUUAGAAAAAUUGAGUUGUUGUUUGUCAAAAAUUUCUUGAUAUGAAAUAAUAAGUUGAGUUCAAACUUUAACACAGAUCUAUACUCAGAAUGCUUACAAUGUUGAAAACAGCUGGGAUAGUGCAUUUUCGGCUGAUGUAGGGAUGGUAUAUAGGCAAAAGAAAUGCUCGUAUUUGAUAGGUUAAUGUGGAAAAACAGUCCUGUCCAUCAAUAGUCUCUUUAUCUACCCUGCUCCAUAUAACCACCAUCAUUUCAUUUUUCUUUUGUAUGAGUAAACAAGGACUCUGAACAUGCAUAUAUUUGUACAGUUUUGUAAAUAUAAGAGCAAAUAGAUGUCCACAUUCAAAUAAAGGUGUGUGGAAUAGCCUAUGUAUGAUACACACACACUUACACACUUUGUAAUGGCUACUCCAGUUUGUAUACCAUGCACACAUAUACGUAUGUGUCUGUAGGUGGGGGGGGGGGGGGUAUACAGGAUGUUCAGGAUAAAUUUGACAAUUUUAUGUCUCCUUUUUUUGCAAGAACAACUUGAUACAUUGGUGAAAAGUCAAUAGCAUUGGAGAGUAUAAAGAUUGAAGUUGUAGCUGAAAAAAAGUUAGCUGAUAUGGAGAACUGGAAGCCAUCUGAAUAUUGAAUGAUUCAUGCUGGGUAUCUAAAUGCCAACAUCAUGACUCUGCAAAGGCUGUAAAAUGUGAAAUAGACAGAUGCAACAGAGACUACAAAGUUCAUACUACACAUGGCAGAGCAGGAUGUUCUUUUGGGUUAGUGAAAAACUAACACCUUAGCUGCAACAGACUUUCCAUAAGAGUAACCAGAUUUGGUGGUGCUGGAUUAAAAUUUCGUGGUGCUAGAGUAGAUUAUCAGAGUGGAUGGUGCUGUAGUCUAUUUGGGUGGUGUGGUAGAGAUUAGGCACUGUGCCUUUGAGGAUAGAGCAAUCAGGUCUAAGGUGGUAUAUAUCAACUGUUGGCUACCAGUGGCUUAAAGUUCAUUAACAAGGAGUACUCCUGGUGGCAACAAUAAGAUAGUUUAUUCUUCCUGUUGAUGGACAUUGCAGGUUGGUGGAGUAUGUGUAAUCCCUUGCAGAGGCAGAGAUGGCAAUUACAAGUUACAGUUGAUUAUGGAGGGGCUCUGUCAAUGAUACUCUAUUUGACGUUGGGACCCCUGCACUUGAAGGAGUGCUUAUGUCAUGUACACCUUCCCUUGUACAUACUUACAUAUAUAUGUAUAUAUACAUGCAUAUAUGGGUACAGGAUGUUAAAAAAUGCAAACAACAUGAAAAAGGAGAACAUGAAAUGCAAAACAUGGAAAACAAACUUAUUUUGCAGACAACACAAGAAACAAAUAGAAAAACGAGACAGGCAACAUAAAGAACAAUCACUUCAUCCGUUGUCCACUGUUUUAUUUACUCCAGAUUUUGACAUUAGGACAAGAUGUGUCUUUGUCAAAACAGUCGCUCACACAAAGCAAAUUAAAUAAAAUUUGGGAUUUGCAGAGGGUCAAAGUUGGUAACAAAAACAGGACAGUUAAAAUAAACAGUAAGUAAACUGUUAAGCCAUAACGAGGUGAAGUGGUGAAUGCUGGAGAAACAAGCUUUAACGGGAGACAGACAAAAAUGCAUGCUAUCCCUUGUAGCUGAACGAGAAGAAAGAAAGAAAUUUUAGUUAGAAGAAGAAAGAUGGUCGCCGGUCACAUGUGAGCAACAAGAGAGUCAAGGAGGAAGAGUAAGGGAGAGAGAGGGACAGAUAGAGAACAGUGAAGGGGGAGUAGAAGAAUUAGAGAAAGGGUAGGAGAGAAAAAAGAAUAUAGAAAGAGGAAGAGAAAGAGAAAUAGGGAUAGUGAUAGAAUAGUGUCGCAUCAGAAUUAUUAAGAUAAAACUUACUUGGAAAUGGAUGCAUGGCAUUCGAUCAUAUAAUAAUAUAAAUAAUAUGCAUAUAUAUGCACAUAUACAUACAUACAUGUAUAUACUUGCAUAUAUAUUUAUAUGCACAUGCAUAUAUGGGUACAGGACAUAAAAAAAUGUAAACAACAUGAAAAACGAGAACAUGAAAUGCAAAAACUAAAUACCUAUAACUCCAAAAUUAUAUAACUAAAUAGCCACCAAUCCUUUAAGUCUACACAGAUAAUAUUUCCACUAGUCUUCCAUAGUUAUUAAUAUAAAAGUGAAAUCUUGAUAUUUUAUUCACUCAAAAACAAAAUAAACUUGAUUGAACUUAACUUAACUAAUAAUAUAACUAAUUCUGAGUGAAUUACACUAUUUCAUUAUCCAAAAGUUAAUAAUUAAAACACUACAUACAUAUUAAAUAUUUGUUAUCCUUACAUGCUUUAAUGUUAAACUUAUACCAGUAACUUAAUGGAUAAUACUAAAAUCUUUAUAAAUAGGAACUAAUAAAAGAAUACAUGUAAUUAACAAUUAUUAUAUAUAUAUUAUAAUUCUACCCUGGGGUAGUUUUCUACCAGGCCAACUCCUGUCAACUGUCCAACCCAUGCCUGCAUGGAAGGCAGACUUUAAAUGAUGAUGAUGAUUAUAUAUAUAUAUAUAUAUAUAUAUAUAUAUAUAUAUAUAUAUAUAUAUAUAUAUAUGUAUGUAUGUAUGUAUGUAUGUAUGUAUGUAUAUAACAGAAUCAGCCAAAAAUAUGUAUACAUACUUCAAGGAAAGAAAAAUGUGUAGAAAUAUUUUGAUGUAGGUUUUUGCAGUCAUUUUCAUACAUUUGUCAUUCAAUUUGAUAAUCGGGUCAUUCAAAGGUGUGAAAAAGUUAGCGCCAUGAAGUUAGGCAUUCAAAUUCAUUUUACAAUCAUUCAGUUUUGCACAUCGGUCAAAGAAUUUAGCAUUUACAUCAUUCAAAAUAAAAUGCCUAUCGAGAGCAUUCAAAUAAGUCGGAAUGUGAGGAAGCAUCUUUUCGAGCAUUCAAAUUCGUUUUAGAGCAAUCUAUUUAACACUUCAAGCAAUCAAAUUAGCACGAUAGCUAUUUUGGAUUUAUCUCAUGGUCAUUGUUAUCAUAAUCAUGUGUUUUCAUCCAUUGUUUAUGCUUUAAGUAUUCUAUCAUGCCCAUGUCUUUUCUAUGUAUUCUUUUAUUUUUGCAUAGGUACAUGUAUUUAUUGUGAGACUUCAUGAAAUUGCAUUCCAGCCUUUUCAAUCUUUUUAAAGAAACUCACAAUUACAAAAAAAUGUUCAUUUUCUUUGAUUUUGAACACAUCAUGUUGUGAUAUGUGUUCUUCCUUUGCAUAAUAUGUCUUGUUGGGAAAAGUAUAUAUUUCUUUGAUUUUUGCAUUUUUUCUUUCAUCAGGGAAAGGGUGCUAUGUACACUAAGAUAAUUAUUGAUUUACAGUCUUGAUAAGAAGAGUUUGUUUGAGAAGAUUUAGCCAUCUAUUUCCUGGCAGUUGAGGCACCGUGGGAGGUAGGUCUCUGUGUGUCUAUACCAACGAACACAAUUUUCUGGAGUGAUAGCUUUGAUAUUACACCUUGCGACCUGUUGUAUGACAUGUGCUCAUUCCUCCAUGGUCAUGUCAGCCAAGAACUCCUCGAAAGAGUUUUGUGUAGCAGUAUCAUUCACAAUGGAGUGGUGAACCAGGCCAAUUUCUCCCAACAUUGUGAAAGUGCUAUUGCAGUUUUCCCACACUGAUAGUUGACAACUCGGCGAACAGGAAUGCCUCAAGGGUCUCAUCCAAAAGGUCACCUGAUCCAAAUGUUGUACCCACAUUUAUCGAUAAAUAUGUAAUAGAUGAUGACUUCCUUUUCCAUAAACCAAUGCAUGUACUUAUAAUGCUUUUCUAGAGUUCUUGGAGUAUUUCUUGCAUCUGGGACGUCUUUGGCCAGCUUCAUAAUUAUCAACAUCCCAUCUAGAGCCCACGAGAUAGCAGACAUGGAAACAGGUAGCUUUCCAGGCAAUGCUGCCUCUAAGUCCCUCUUCAUCUGUUGAAAGGUUGCAAGUAGGUUGGCACCAAUAAUCACCUGAAACCUGGCUCACAUUUCCUCAUCAACCUUAAUGAGGUGGGUAGCUCCUCUGGACAACAUGUGGUACCUCCCAGACUGUAGGUAGGUCACUACUAUGGAUCAGGCAGUACUCCUUUUAAUGCCAAGUGUGUCUACCAGUUGCAGGUAAUCUCAAAGGCGUCAACCAGCCUUGCCCUAUCUUCAUCCAAUAUACGCAUGUAUCUUAUGUGUGGCUCCAUGAUUACAAACUGGUAUAAGAGAAAGGAAUAUAAUAUGUAACUGAUGCCAACCAGUUACAAGUGUUGCAAUGAAAAAGACUUUCAUGUACAGAAGAAUCAAUUUAUUUCUUCUUUGUAGUUAUAACAGCAUAAUAAAAUUUGCAUGACAAAACAUGUCACUUAAAUUUGUCAUUUUUAACACUCACUUCUUAGAAUGUGAGUAAAAACAGACAUGUAAAAUUAGUGCUAAAUUGAAUAAACUUAUUCCAAAUUUGAAUGCUCACAUGCAAAUUUGAAUGCUCGAAAAGAUACUUCUUCACAUUCCAACUAAUCUGAAUGCUCUUGACAGGCACUUUAAUUUGAAUGAUGUAAAUGCCAAAUUCUUUGACCGAAGUGCAAAAUUGAAUGAUUGAAAGACAAAUUUGAAUGACUAACUUCAUGGCACUAAUGUUUUUUGUGACUUUAAAUGACUCAGUUAUCAAAUUGAAUGACAAAUGUACAAAUAUGACUGCAAAAGCUUAUACUAAAUUUAUUCAGAUAUCACAGAAUUGAUACAGUCUAUCUUUAAACUCCACAAUUGCAAGAGGUGCUCAAAGUGGUCACCAUUAGCUUCCAGACACUUAUUAGUACAGCGAAAUGCUGCUUUGGGCAAUGUUGGCCAAAGUGUUCAGUAAGAUUGCUGCACAUACCAUUCAAUUUCUUCCUAAAGGACUGUCAGUGCAGUCAGUCUUCUGCAAUACAGUCAUUCUUUAGGGUAACCCAUAAGUAAAAGUUACUGCAAAUGUUAAAUCAGGAGAACAUGCAAGUAACUCAAUUGUAUACUAUCUUGUGUUCUUGCAAAUUCUUAUCCAGAUAAGCUCACAUGUCUCUGCAGUAGUGUGUUGGUGUGCUGUCUUGUUGAAAAAAUGUCAUCAUUUCGAUAAAAUACAUGUAUGGCAGGUAAAAUGGCUAUGCAUAGCAUGUCUAGGUGUGCCUGAACAGUGUCAGAACCUUCAAAGAAAAAUGGUCCUAUUAAACAUUUUGAUGACACUCUACACCAAACAUUGACACUCAGUAAAUUGACUGCUUUGUCAACAUGUCAAAAAAUGCAUAAAAGUUUAAAGGUAUGUUAUAUUAAUCCUAUGAUGUCUGAAUAAAUUUACCACUAAAAUGUUUCUACACAUUUUUUCUUUCUCUGAAGUGUAUAUAAAUUUUUUUGGCACUCUCUCUCUCUCUCUCUCUCUCUCUCUCUCUCUCUCUAUAUAUAUCUCUAUAUAUAUAUAUAUAUAUAUAUAUAUAUAUAUAUAUAUAUAUAUAUAUAAUAUAUAUAUAUAAAUAUAUAUACAUACAUACAUAUACAUACAUAUGUAUAUACAUGUAUAUUUAUGUAUAUAUGUAUAUGUGUAUGUAUAUAUAUAUAUAUAUAUAUAUAUAUAUAUAUAUAUAUAUAUAUGUUUGUAUGUAUGUAUGUAUGUAUGUAUGUAUGUAUGUAUGUAUGUAUGUAUUUAUUUAUAUAUUAUAUAUGUGUAUACGUAUAAAUAUAUGUAUGUGUGUGUAUACAAAAAACAAGCAAACACACACACACAUGCACACACAAAUAUGCAUAAAUGUAUGUAUGUGCAUAUGUAUGUGGUAACUAGGAUUAAAAAGCGACACCUAAAGAUUCAGUGCAGUCAGUUUGUCUGGGUGGCUGUAUACAACAGGUGGAAGGAAAGAAUAGGCGACAGUUGAAAGUUUUAGACAACACUUGACAGUUACAUAGCCCAUGAUAUCAACUGCCUUUCAUUGUACAUGAUGUCAGGAGCCAUUCAUACUUAAUCAAUCUUUAUCUCUGGUUCUGGUUCAUUUCUACCCACUGCUGAGUACAUACGUUUGUAGCCUUAGUUACAGUCAGUAUACAUUCUUUACAUUCUAAACUUUUCCCAUGUAAGACUGCUUUGCACACUUUGACAUUUUUAUACAAACUGUGAGUGUGCACAUGUGUGUGUGUGUGUGUGUGUGUGUGUGUGUGUGUGUACAUAUACGCAUAUAUACAUAUGUAUAUGUCAUUAUCAUCAUCAUCAGUUAAAAUCUGCUUUUAAUGCUGGCAUAGGUAGGAUGGUUUGACAUGGUACCAGUAAGCUGCAGAGAUGCAUCAAGCUCUGAUGUCAUCUUUGGAAUGGUUUCUAUGGCUGAAUGCCCUUCCUAAUGCCAACCAUUUAACUCAGUGUACUGGGUGCCUUUUUCAUGCCACCAGCACUAUUGUCAUGUAACUUGCAAACAAAAAAUACCACAGAAAAAUGAAGCAGUAAAAGCCUCUACAACUAAGAGGAAGUAUUUAAGAAGAGAAAGUGUAGGUGGGUGGAUAUAUGGGUGGGUGGUGCUGAAAGUUUAAAGUAUGAUAGAGGGACAAGCACAGGUGUCUUGCUAUAGAGGAGAUAUAUGGCUGAAGGAGAUAAAAGGUAGGUAGUGGUGGGAUGCUAGAGCAAACUCUUAAGGAUCAAGAAGGUGAGCAUUAGAGAGGGCGAGGACAGUGAACCAUGGGAGGAGAUGAGAGAGUGGAUGCUUUUAUAAGAGUGUAUGUGUGGGGGAGCGGAGUGGCAAAUAGAUGGAGGUAAAGGUUAAUGUAAUGAGUGAUGAACAAAGGUGCAGAUGAUGGGAAAUACCAGUAUGGAGAGGGGUUAGGUGGGAGAUAUAAGGGUGACUCAAGAAGGAGAAUAGAACAAGAAGUUGUAGAAUGAUGUGCAAAUAGGAGCUGUGGAGGGGGAGAUAUAGAGAUACAUAUAGUAGGUUAGUUAUGAUGUUAGAUGUGCGAGGGCAUCAAGAAUGAUAGCAGAUAAAAGAGAUGUUUAGAACAGAGGGGAGAUAGAGUAGUGGCUGAAGUCACAGAAAGGUAACCUGUUGAAAUAAUGUGGACAAGGAUGAUGAAGCAUUGAAGGAGUUCCACAGAGAGAAGAGGCACUGUUUGGGAGGGGAUUGAAUAAAGUAUGUGCUGAUACUGCUCUCUGGUGAGUACAGUAGCCAUGUAGUACCACAGUUGGGUGGUGGGGAUGAAAUAAUUUGGAGAGGAAUGCUUGACAUAUCAGGGAGAGGGGAAAGAGAAAAGGGGGACAGGGCCUCACAUAUACAAGAAUAACCGAGUGGGGUUUUGCUGUAAUUGGUGGCUCUUCUUGAGCACAGCAAAAUGCCAAACAUCUCAGUCCUUUGUCAUCACCUUGUAAAGCUCUGCAUCUUGAGAUCAGCCUUCAGUACUUCAUCCCAUGUCUUCCUGCAUCAUCCUCUUCCAUCACUUCCAUCCACUUUAAACAAUUGGCACUUUUUUAUGCAACUGUCCUCAUCAUAUAUAUAUAUAUAUAUAUAUAUAUAUAUACACAUGUGUGUAUGUGUCUGUGUAUACAAGAGGGUACCCAAAAUUAACCAGAAAUAUUUUCUGUGGGAAAAAACCCAUUGUCGUUCAGGCUUCUGCUAUUAGAAGCCACUUCAUGUGACUCUCAGGCAUUCAUCUGCAACCAGCCUCGUUGAGCAAAGUUGUACUGCCAUGUGAUGUGUCUUCGUUUUGCAGUGCUUCUCCUGUUUGUCAAUUUUUACAAUAGCUGAAACAAAGGAACAACAUGCUUCCAUGGAAUUUUGUUUUCUGCUGGGGAAAAUGGCAGCUGAAACAGUUGUCAUGCUUCAAACAGCUUACAAGGAUGCUGCCAUGAGCAAAAUGCAAGUUUGCAAGUGGUUCCCACGCUUUAGGAAUGGUCACUUGUCACCUGAAAACCAACCUCAUUCAGGAUGACCAUUGACCUCUCAAACAAAUGAAAACAUCAUGAAAAUUCAUGAAUUGAUCACUGAACCUGAAUACAUGUCAUGAACUGAAAGAACAGUUGGAAGUUGAUCCAGACCAUUUUCCAAAGGUGGUGGUGGGUGGAUAUAUGGCUGGGUGGUGCUGAAGGGCUAAAGUAUGACAGAAAGACAAGCACAGAUGUCUUGCUAUAGAGGAGCUAUAUGGCUGGAGGAGAUAAAAGGUAGGUAGUAGUGAGGUGCAAGAGCAAACUCUUAAGGGUCAUGAAGGUGAGCACUAGAGAGGGUGAGCACAGAGAAUCGAAGCUCAUCACUGGUGACGAAAGUUGGUGUUAUGGAAUUUGAAGAUGCAGAAGAGGUUAAGAAAAAAAAACAACGGAGGCAUCAAAAGGCAUCACUUUGCAAGAGUUCUAGUACUGCUUUCAAUAGUGGAAAAUGUGUCUAGACCAAUGCAUUGCUUCAAAUGGAGAAUAUUUUGAAAACAAUAAAAGCGUAAGCAUGUAAAACUAAGUGAAUAAAAUAAUAUUACAAAAUUCUGCUUUUUUGGGGGUACCCCUAUGUAUACACACGUACACACACACAUAUAUAUAUAUAUAGAGAGAGAGAUGAGACAGAUAUUCUUCAUGCAGAAUAUACUUCUUAAUGCUCAAGAGGUUUAAACUUGAGCAGGUAGAGGAGUAAAUGUGAGGAUAAGCAAGAUAGGCAAAUUGAUAUACAUAAAAUAUUAAAUACAUUUAAAUAUAUUUUGUAUACCGACAUGCCUAACUUGUUUAUCCUUACAUUUAUCUCUUAUUAUAAAAGGCAGAUUUUAUCUGCCUCCCUUUGGGAGUUAUACAAAUCUACAAUAUAGGAUUUCUUCAAUUACAAUUUACCUAGCAUUUUACCUAGCAUUUUUAAGAGUACAAUGCAUCGCGUCAUGCCAGGUCCAGUUUUUAAAAUUUAAACUCCAAUUAAGCAAAAUUUACAGAAAACUCACAUUCUGGUGUGUGUGUCAAAUGCUUUUCUUAGUCUGGUUUACACCACACGCAAACGCACACACACAGUGGGCAAUGAAUAAACUGAAACUAAUUCACUGUGUGUUGACAGGUAGAAAAUAGAAUGCGAUGGCGAUGGCUAUGGCGAUGGCGAUGGCUAUGGCGAUGGCGAUGUAAUAUUUGUUUCUCUCUAUGACGCUCAUAAAAGCAUUGAUGUACAUGUGUGCGUGCGUGAGUGUGUGUGUGUCAUUCCUCACACACACGCAUACACAUACAUAUAUGAGAGUGGCAAACACAAACGUUUCAAACAACUACAUACAAACACGUGUGUGUUUGUUAUUAGUAAAAAAAGGCGCCAAAACACAACUCACUUAUCAUUCCAACACAUUUGCAAAGACACACGGACGGUCGAAUAACAAUACAGAAAAGGUAAAUUGGUUUUUAUUUUACUCUGUAUAUAUUUUAUUAUAUAAUAUUAUAUAUAGAUAUAUGUAUAUAUAAUUGCAGUAUGAAACAGUGUUUAUGUAUAAACAGACGACACUUAUAUAUAGUUAUUAAUAAAUGUAUGCAUCCGUUUAACCCUUUCGUUACCAAACCGCCCGAAAAAAAUUUUGGUUAAUGUGACCAAGCCGCCCGAAUUUACCUAUUCAUAUUUAAAUGAGAAUAUCAGAGUAAAUCUCUUUAGAACAUUCGUGAAAACACGUAUUAUACUUCGUAAACAGUUCAACUACAGUUUUGUACAAAAAUCGAAGUGUAAUUUUAAUUCCGUGAAUUAUGGGAGAUUUUUUUCCGAAAUUUGUUCCUAUUGUGUUUUCAAAAUUUGUAAUUCUGACAAAAAAUGGAUACGAAUUUCAUUAUAUCAAGCAGCGAGUCAGAAUUCGAAGGAUUUUCUACUGAAGACCUUCAUAAAUCUAACUCUAUGACUGAAAAAAAAAAGCAUGUGGUAUUUGAUCUCAACCUAAACAAAGCGAAAGAAACGAUAGUUUGUUAUUUCCCACAACCUUAAAUGAAAUUAAGGCCUAUUUUGCCAUAAAUAUUAUUAUGGGUAUUAGAAAGUUACCCAGAAUUACAAAUUCUAUCGUAAAAUUUUGUUGUAUACCCAAUUGAAUAUUAGCUAAUAACCCAUUUUCUAUAACGAUGUUUGAACAAAAUUUUAAUAAUUUUAUAUAUUGUUGAAUUUACCUGUAUCUACCUGCAAUUAGAGUCACUUUGUGACAAAAAUUAUAGUAUAGAAUUGGUUGAGAACAUUUCACUAAAUUAUCUUCCAAAAAUCAGAUUAAUAUAUUCAUAAAUAAAAAAGUUAUAGUUGUUUAAUGAAACCAGACUAAAUUUAUGAUUACGUUAGAAAUUAAUUGAAACACAUAAGGGGUGUAUUUUGGUCAGAAAUAUAGUAACGAAAGGGUUAAGAAAAACCAAAAAAUAUUUUAUUCUUUGUAAAUGUUGUGUUCAAAAUAACAUUUUCUUUUAAGAAUGUGUAUAUAACAAAGUAUGUGUAUAUAACUACGUGGCUUAUAUCUUUAUAUAUAAGAGUGAAGUUGUGUGUCUGUCUCCUACGAUUUAGAUUCGUAACUACUCCCACAUUUUGCGGUGUAGUUUAACCAAAAGCGGGUAUCUUAUAGUCGUGAUUCAUAUCGAGCCCUUCUGGGUAUUAGCGCGCGUCUACGAUGAGUCUACGAUUUUAAAAAAAUUUACCAUCAUAUUUUUCCAUUUUAAUGCAUAUUUUUCGUUAUUAUAUAAGGGAAGUAACUCUCUAAAAAUAUCUACGAUGUGUCAACGAUUUAAAAAAAAAAUUACCUUAAUUUUUUUUCAAUUUUUAAUGCAUUUUUUUGCUAUAACUCUCUAAAAAUGCUUAUAUAGUUAUUUCCCUUACAAACCCGAGCAACGCCGGGCGAUACUGCUAGUAUAUAUAUAUAUAUACUCACACACAUGCACACCCAUAUGUGUGUGCACACACAUGCAUACACACAUAUGUAUAGUGUUUUAUUUAAGCUGAAAAUACUUCACAAGCUCAGUGCAACUCUCUGAUGAUCAGUUACAUAAAAUUCUUAAUAACAGUUUGUGAAAGUUUUUCAGCUUCAAUAAAACACUUCAGUACUCGAGAGUUAUUUUUUUCCACCGUGUUUUGCACCUAUACACUUGCAUGUGUGUAUAUCUAUAUUUAUACCUAUAUCUACAUAUAUGCAUGCGAGCGCACACACACACACACACACACACAUUUAUAUUAUCCUCUUCAUUACUUCAUCAUCAUUUUAUGUCCAUUUUUCAAACUACGUUGAGCAAGAUAUCACAGAGUGAGUCAGUUCUUAGUUGAAGCUGGUACUCACCAAAAUGUUUUGGUGACCAUGUCUCACACAUUGAUUUCAAUUUAAUGCCCUCUACAACUGGAUACCUUUCCUAUCCCUAUCUGCUUUACAGAAUGAAGCAGGUGAGUUCAUUCAUGACAUCGUGCCCUAGUAUAUUUGUCAAUUCCUUAAGGACAAGUUGAAAAUUUUUCUCUACCUUAAGUUAUUUCUAUUCAUUCACCAACCACUUGGUAGAAUACAUUGGGGGUAGAUUUCAUUGACACCAGCAUUAGAGAAGUUGUUUUGUCUCAAGCAAGACAACGAAAAUUUAUUCUAUGUUACUUCCAUCUAUUUAUUUACCAGUACCAGAAAAAGGUCAUCUCAUCCCUGGCACUGAUAAAAAGGAACAAGUUGGAGAGAACAGAAGAAAGAGGAGAGAGGAAUGGAAGAGACCAAAAGUGAUAGGAUCAAGACUGUAAUAGAAGAGGCAGGAAAGGAAGGGGGGAGAAAGAGAGAGAGAGAGAGAGAAACAGCUGGAUGGACAGACAAUGAGGGAGAGCUGCUCAGUGAUUUUUGGUGAAGAGAUUGGAUAGAAAUCCAAUAAGUUGAUAGGUGAUAAAGACAGUCAUAGAGGGAGAGAGAGUAAAAGUGAGAAUACUGAAAGUGAAAGAGUGAUGAUAGAGUUUUAUUUACAAUCAGUGGUGGAGGAUAGAUUUCAAUUUUGUUCAUUAAAUUUAAUUCUUUGAUGUCACACUUAACCAAAUUGUUCAUGCAUGAUAGGCACAGGCAGGGCUGUGUGAUAAGAAGUUUGCUUCCUAGCCAUAUGGUUUGAGAUUCAGUCCCACUGCAUAGCACCUUCGGUAAGUGUCUUCUACUAUAGCUAUAGGCUGACCAAAGCCUUGUGGAAUGGAUUUGGUAGACGAAACCUGAAAGAAGCCUGUUGUGUGUGUGUGUGUGUGUGUGUGUGUGUAUGUGCGCACACGUGUGUGUGUUUGAGUCAGUGUUUGCCCCCCACCAUUGCUUGAUAACUGGUGUUGGGGUGUUUAUGUUCUUGUAACUUAACAGUUUGGCAAAAGAAACCUAUACAAUAAGUACCAGGCUUAAAAAAUAGAUAAGUACUGGUGUUGAGUCAUUUGACUAAAAGUUCUUCAAGGCAGUGCCCCAACAUGGCCACAGUCUAAUGACUGAGACAAGUAAAAGAUAAAAGAAAAAUUAUCUAGAAUUUUCCAUAAUGCUCUAACUUCUUCCAGCUUCCAAAAUCUUUCUUAAUACUAUUUCUUACACAUUUAAAGCUGUGCUGCUUUUAAUUCUUCACUCUUAGCCAAGUCAUUAACUGUGAAGUUUGAAAUCACAGUAACCCUGUUCUUUUUUUUUUGUCUGAUAAAAGUUUUUGACUCUAGUUUGUUAUUAAGACUUUUGUUUAAUUAAUGUUUUUUUGAUGUUUUUAAUUUUACUAAAAACACCAACACCAAAUAUUAGGCUCCUCUUUCAAAAGUGAGAACUUCCUACAAUGCUGACUGAAAUUUCAGAGCCCCCACCCCACCGAGUUUCUUCCUCAAGACAUAGUAACCACCCUCCAACUCUCUCUUUUGCUGCAGAAUACUGCAGCUGUAAUUAAAUGUGGGCAGAGCUGCAUAUUUCAUCAGUUUUUCUCUGAUACCACUUUAUCUUUCCUGCUACCCAGAACCACUACACCUGAUAUCCAUCCUUCAUUCUUAAUACUGUCUACUUCAACCACAGUUUACAUUGGUCACCCUCCUGAGCCACCAAAUUAUUUCUCCUCCACCAACACACAUCUCUCCUCCCCUUUCUCUUCAUUUACUACACUCUUAGAAUCUACACAACAUCUCACUCUUUUUCUCCCUCUCUCUCCCCCCUCUCUCUCUCUUCCAUCCUUCCUCAUCCUUCCCCUCUCUACUUUAUCAUUAUUGCCAUUCUGCUGCUCUCCACCCACUUCUAUGCACUGUCAGUCAUCUCCUCUUCCCUGAUUACCCCAAUUCAUAGUCACAUCUCAACACCACCCAAUUUCUACAGUUGUCACCUACUCUUCCCUCUCUCCUCCUUAUCUCCCCUCAACACUUGUUCUUUGUUAUAUUCACCCCUUCACCCAUUCCCCACCACUAAUCAUCUCUCACUCUUCCAUACACUCUUGCAUCCUCUACCUACUCACACUUUCUGUUCUUCUGUCCUCACUCUCUUCUGCUCAUCUCCUAUCUUGAGGGUCCACCCUGAAAUCUCAUUAUCACCAUUAUUAUCCUUUUCCAGCUCCAUCCUAGUUACUUCCAUCCUCUCUUCUGUAAUCAGAGUUUCCAGGUAGCUCCUCUACAGCUGGAAAUCUGUUCUUUUCUGACCCCUUCUUUCACACUUUAACCCUUCAUCUCAUAGCAUAAAGCUACCUCCCUUGCUACUGUAGUCCCCAUCCCGGCACGUAGUCAAAGAGAAUCUUAGUCUUGCAGGAUACAUAGCAACUUAAUAAAGUUCUGGUGCUACAAAAAAGUGUCCAGUACAUACGGUACAGUAGAUGACAUUAAGAAGGACAACCAGCCAUAGAAUUUAUGCCAAAGCAGACCUUGGAGCACAUGCAGUCUUUGGACUCAUCCAAUCCUAUCAUCCUGCUCAUGCCAGCAUAAGACAUGGACUUUAAAUGAAGGUGGUGGUGGCAAUGACAACAAUGACACCAACAGCGACAACAAUAACAGUAGUAAAUAGAAAGCAUAUCUUUCCUUAAAAAAUUCACUCAGGAAUCAUCAUCAUCAUCAUCAUCAUCGUUUAACGUCCGUUCUCCAUGCUAGCAUGGGUUGGACAGUUCGACCGGGGAUCUGGGAAGCCAGAAGGCUGCACCAGGCUCCAGUCUUAUCUGGCAAUGUUUCUACAGCUGGAUGCCCUUCUUAACGCCAACCACUCCGUGAGUGUAGUGGGUGCUUUUUACGUGCCACCUGCACAGGUGCCAGGCGAGGCUGGCAACGGCCACGGUCAGAUUGGUGUAUUUUAUGUGCCACCGGCACGGAAGCCAGUCGAGGUGGCGCUGGCAUCGGCCACGAGUCGGAUAAUGCUUUUUACGUACCACCAGACCAGGGAUCCUGGCUGGUUCAAUUCGAUUUCGCUUGCCCCAACAUGUCUUCGCAAGCAAAGGGGGUUGGCAUGGGUGCCUGUCGUACGGUUGGAUUGGUGUAUUUUACGUGCCACCGGCACGGAAGCCAGUGGAGGCGGCGCUGGCAUCGGCCACGAGUCGGAUAGUGCUUUUUACGUACCACCAGACCAGGGAUCCUGGCUGGUUCAGUUCGAUUUCGAUUUCGCUUUCGCUUGCCCCAACAUGUCUUCGCAAGCAAAGGGGGUUGGCAUGGGUGCCUGUCGUCGGAUGAGGUUCUAUAUCGACUUCGCUUGCCUCAACAGGUCUUUGUGUCCAAGGGAGGAAAGGCAUUCAUAAGUGGGCUGGGCUCACUUGUCCUGCCUGGUCUUCUCACGUACGAAUAUUGUAAGUAAUAAAUAUGAGUUGAAACAUUUAAGAACCAUCCACCUAGUAUCUUCUUGCUACUCAAUGAAAAUAUGAAGAAUUCUGAAAUAUAUUUAAUCAAGAAAAGUAGAAACAUUUUUGUUAACUCAGGUUAAAUGAAAAAUCUAUAUGAAAAUGACAAUAAAAAAACCCGAUAUCUCUCUGAUUUGAUCUCCAGCACUUAAAAGAAAACAUACAACAUAGCACUAAAUGGCAUAAAUUCUUCUGCUAAAGACAGCCACUAAAUAAAAUGAUAAUAAAACAUUUGCUAAAGCCACAAGAGCUUUAUUCUAACUUAAAUGACCACAAAAAUAACAUCUAUCAACAACUUCCUAUUUAACAAAUAAACUCCUCCAAAACCAAUUUAGGUGUAACUAGAAGUAAAAUGGAUUUUUUGCUACCAAAGUUAAAAAGAAAUAUCUCAGUUACUAUCGCACAAUAAUAUAAGCCUCGUACUAAGUUGGCUCACCUACAUCUAAAACCAGAAAAAUUGCUUUUUUUUCCAGUUUGAUACCUUGAGAAUAUCACAUUCCUAUUUCCAAAUUCUCUAUUAAUCUAUUAACUAUAGAAUUCUACCACAUCAGUAAAACUUCAGAUCAUUGAAACAAUACUGGAAACUAGAAAAUUUCUUCUUUUCUACCUUUCAACAUUCGUCUGAACCCUUCGUUGUUACUAUGAAAUCAAAGAGUUCAGCUGAAAUAAACAACUUCAUAAGCUAAUAUAUCCUGAAUAUCCUCCAAAACUCUGUUUCUUUUCCUUCAAAGCAACCUUUUCCUUCUUUUUACCAAGGGAGUGAAUCUGCAGUCCACUGGUCACUUAACUGUGUGUGUGUGUGUGUGUGUGUGUGAGUGUGUGUGUGUGAGUGAGUGUGUGUGUGUGAGUGUGUGUGUGUGUGUGAGUGUGUGUGUGUGUGUGUGUGUGUGUGUGUGUGUGUGUAUCAUCGUCAUCAUCAUUUAACAUCUGUUUUCCAUGUUAGUAUGUGUUCGAUGAUUUGACUGGUGCUGGCUAACUAAAGGACUAUGCCAAGCUAUAUUGUCUUGUCUGCUUUGGUAUUGGUCUUAUGGCUGGAUGCCCUUCCUAACACAAACUACUUUACAGAGUUACUGGGUGCUUUUUAUGUUGCACCAGUACUAGCAGGGUUACCAAAUAACUUACAAAACAAAGACCCUUUGACUAGGAAGGGGUGGUUUUGUGCCAGUUGAUGAGAGGUUAAGGUAUAAUAGAAGAACAGAGACCAGUAUCUUGCAGUAGAGGAGUAAAGGAAAGGAGCGAAAAGGAGAAUGAGAGAGUGGUGGUGGAGAGAUGUUGAAACAUACUCUCAGGAUAGAGGAGGAUAGAGGAAGAAGUUUCAUAACAGUGUGAGGAGAUGGUUAGAGAUGAGGUAGAGGUAGGAUACACACACACACAAACACACACACAUACACACAUACCUUCAUAAAAAAUUUUGAGCUCAGAUCAGUGCCUAAAAAUUGUCAACUUCUUAGAUAUUACAUGAUAUCUAGACAAGGCUAAAUAUUGCUAAUCAAAAAAAGAAAAUCGAAAAGUCCCUCCAAGUAAUCAAACUAGCAAACCAUAGAUAAUCUUGUCUAUAAUAUUUCCUUAUGAGCUUUCUCUUUAUCAUCUAUUCAAUGGGUUUUUAAAGAAACUGUUCUUCUCCUUACUUAAAAAAGUAGGUUCACUGAUGAAGUACAAUACUAUCCAGAACUUCCAUCUUAUAGUAACUAACAUGGAAAUAGGAAAAUAAAUAUUAAUUGGUAUAACUCACCAUCUACCCAGCUUGUAACUACACCCAUAGACAAAAUUUUCCUCAAACUUUUAUCUAAACAAUUUCCCACCAACCCAAAAAUAUCAUAACCUUGUUAAAAAAUAUACUUUGAGACUCUCCUCCAUAACUACUCAUGCUAUCAUUAUGCAUAAUUUUGCUAAAUUAAAUCCUAACUACUGUGUAAGUAUCCUCCUUUUGUUUUGAUUGGAACAGUUCCUACUUCUAAGACAAACUGUUCUAAUCAGAGCAUUUGUCUUAUAAAAGAAAACUGCAUAGCCAAAGAACUGGCUCAGUAUGCUAUUAUUAAUUUCCAGUUCCCUGAUAUAUCAUUUUACCUACUCUCUGUAUGAUAUUUUUGAUAGAAUGCUUGUGUUUACUUGAAUUUGUAUUUUCCUGAAUAUUUUUACAUCAAAUUGUAACAUAGACACAUUUUUUCCAUUAUAUAUAACAGGUAUCCUUUACUGAACAAACACUUCGUUUACAAGUGUACUUAUCAAUGCCUUUGUGCAUAAACAGAUGAAUAUAUUUUUGCAUUAUAGCACCAACACCUGCUUGGCCUAAGUUAUACAUAUGGGAGUAUGUGUUGCGUGUGUGUGUGUGUGUGUGUACAUCAUCAUUACAUGCUUUUUUGUUUUAUCUUUUGAUAUCUAGUUUUCCAUACUUGCAUGGGUCAACAGGAGUCUAUUGAGACAGAUUUAUAUAUAUGUAUGUAUGUAUGUAUGUAUGUAUGUAUGUAUGUAUGUAUGUAUGUAUGUAUGUAUGUAUGUAUAUGUAAUCAGUAUUCAAUUAGUAGAAGAAAAGAAAAUGAUGAGUUGACAGUUAAUAAUUAUUUAUUAAUAAAUUGAUAAUUCUUAGUUCCUACAGCUGUUUCCAUUAGUGCUCAUUAAAUAAAUUAUAAAUUUAUGCAUAAAAUUUGCAUUUAUAAGAUAUGAGCAAAAAUAUCAUCAGGGAAAAAGAUAUAGAUUAAAAGAUUACAUGUUGACCUCUUAGUCUAUGCCAGUGAACUCAGAGCCAACUGGUAUGAACUAAGAGCUCAACAUAUAAUCUUUUAAUGUAUAUCUUUUUCCUUGAUGAUACUUUAACUCAUACUUUAUCAAUACAAAUUUAAAGCCUAAAUUUGUAAUUUAUUUAAUGAGCACUAAUGAGAACAGCUGUAAGAAUUAAAAAUUAUCAAUUUAUUAAUAAAUAAUUAUUAACUUUCAACUCAUUUUCUUUUCUUUUAUUAAUUGAAUACUGAUUAUAUGCUUAAUAUAUACCUAUUGAUUUAAGGAAAUUUUAUUUCCCAAAAAUAUUAGGUAUAGAACCAGUGUUUUCUUGGUUGUAAUCAUCCUUUUAAGAGGUCAAUAUAUCCUCUUCAAAUUUUAUUUAAUUUGCUUUGUGGGAGCAACUGUUUUAUCGAAAACGUAUCUUGUUGUGAAUUGCUCAAGAUACGAAGUAGAAAAACAGCCAACAUCUGAUGAAAAGUCUUUAUUUUAUGUUGCUUGUCUUGUUUUCCAUUUGUUUCUUUCACUGUUCACAAAAAAAGUUUGCAUUCCAUGUUUUUGUAUUUCAUGUUGUUUUUAUAUUUCAUGUUGUUUACGUUCUGUGAUGUUCUGUGCUCAUAUAUGCAUGUGUAUAUACAUGUAUAUGUAUGUACAUAUAUGUAGGUAUGUAUGCAUAUAUAUUUAUAUAUUAUUUAAAUUAUUAUAUGAUUGAACGCCACACAUCCAUUUCCUAGUAAGUUUUAUCUUAAUAAUUUCGAUGCGACACUUAUCCUAUCUUUUUCUAUUUCUCUUUCCUCUCCUCUUUCGUUUCCUCUCUCUCUUCUUUUCUCUAAUUAUUUUUAUCUUCCCUUCUCCCCAUUUCAUUUUUUCUCACUCAUCCUUUCUCUAAUUCUUUUCCUCUCCCCUUUGCCAUUCUCUGUCUGUCCCUCUCUUACUUUUGCUCUCUCAUCGCUUGCAUGUGACCAUUGGCCAUCUUUCUUUUCCUAAUUUGAAUUUCUUUCUUUCUUUCUUUUUUUAUUUCUUUCUUUCUGAUCAGCUGCAGGGAUAAGAUGCAUUCUUGUCUGUCUCCGGGCAGAGCUUGUUCCUCUGCAUUCACCAAGUCAACUCAUUCAGGUUUAGUAACCCUUCCUGUUUGUUUUCACUGUCUUGUUUUUGUUACUAACUUUGACCCUCUGCAAAAUCGCAAAUUUUAUUUAACUUUUCUUUGUGGGAGCAACUGUUUUGUCGAAAAUGUAUCUUGUCGUGAAUUGCUUGAAAUAUGAAAUAGAAAAACAGGUGACAACUGAUGAAGGGUCGUCUUUUUAUGUUGCUUGUCUUGUUUUCCAUUUGUUUCUUUCGUUGUUUGCAAAAAAAAGUUUGAAUUCCAUGUCUUCAUGUUUCGUAUUUCAUGUUGUUUACGUUCUGUGGUAUCUUGUGCCCAUAAACAUAUAUAUAUACAUCUCUAUAUAUGUACAUAUAUGUAUGUAUGUAUGCAUAUAUAUUUAUAUAUUAUUUUUAUUAUUAUAUGAUUGAAUGCCAUGCAUCCAUUUCCAAGUAAGUUUUAUCUGUCUGUCUGUCUAUCUAUCUAUAUAUCUAUCUAUCUAUCUAUCUACCUACCUACCUACCUACCUACCUACCUACCUACCUACCUACCUAUCUAUCUAUCUAUCUAUCUAUCUAUCUAUCUAUCUAUCUAUCUAUAUAUAUAUAUAUAUAUAUAUAUAUAUAUAUAAAGUUAAUCCAAACAAGAAAGCACAAAAAAACACAACAACACGAGGAUGUGGAACAAAUAUAGUAUUAUUGGAUGCUCAGGAAAGAAGGAAAGGAGGAGGGUUUAACGUUUCGAGUGGAGCUCUUUGUCGGAAACAUAGGAGAAGGAAAGAUCCAGAGAAGGGAAGACAGAGGAAAAAAAAUCGCCAACGGUACACAUGAGGUCAGGGCUAAAUUAGCUGUGUGUAUAUAUAUAUAUAUAUAUGUAUAUAUAUAUAUCAUUCAACUACGGUUGUAGUUGAAUAAUAUUCUUGAGGCCACAAUUUACUUACAUGCAGCACCUUUCAGAGCUUGUCACUAAUUCAGUUCUUAACCAAAUUGAAAACUGUAAACAUGUUUGAAGAGGACUGAUCUCUAGCUACAUUUUGGCUUUAAAAAUUGAAAUUUAUCUAAUAGAAAAAACUUUACAUCAAAAUUUGUAGCAACAUUAUUGGAGAGUAAGUAACGCCACCAAUCAAGUUUAGAUUGAAAUAACUUUUUUUAUUUUAAAAGCAAAAUAUAGUUAUCUUAGCUUCAAUCAUAGAAGAAAGCAAGAAGAAUUUCAUAGUUUCAGUCCCAUGCAACAAAAAUUUGUAUCAAAAAAGUUGUGAGGUAAAAUAUGAAAAAUAUAAGUAAGGCAAAAAAUUGGAUUGAAGUAUAAUUAACCUUUUUAUUUUAAAAACGAACUAUAUUUUAAUUAAGCUUAAAUGAUAGAGCUCAGUGAGAGGAAUUUCACAGUAUCAAUCUCAUGCAAUGAAGUUUUAAAAGAAAAAGCUUAUAAGUGUUUGCUUCUCAAAUUUGAGGGUGACGAUAUAGUUCUAUACUUCUUUAUGAAUAUAGUUGUAUAAGGGGGCUUUUAAUAUAUGUCACCAGCGUCAUGAGGUAAGGAAAAAAUUAUCAAUGACACCACUAAGUGACACAUUUGACACAUUAUUAAUUAGCAUAAUAGCCUGGAAAAAACAUGGAUUACAUGGAAAAAUGCAAGCAAGAGAAAUAAGAUUAUAAACAUGGAAAAUGACAGGACAAGUUAUUAGACUUGGCAAAGUUCAGGACAACUUAUUACAUCUAGUAAAAUACAGAACAAGAAAAUUAUUACUUAAAAUAUUGCCGCUAAGAAUAAAAUAUGAAUAUUAAAAAUUAUUUGAUUUUAAUUCACAAAGUAACAUUAUAAUUUUAAAAAUGUACCGUCAUUUUUGUUAAAAUAUUAACACGCUAGGAUACUUUAAAAAUGAGAGCCAGAAGUACCAAUAUAGCUAAAGUUUUAUACAAAGUAGAAUAAUAUAUAUAGUAGGCAAAUUCAUUAUGUAAAAAAUAGGCAUUGGGUCAAGACUAAAAAUAUGAAGACUUAGCAAUAACUUAGGCAAUAACUCAAGCAAAUUUUACAGUGAAUUUGUUCUUAUAGGUAGAUUUUACUGUAAUAUAUAGCUAAUUUUUGUAUUAUUCUAUUUAUUGUACAAACUAAUUAUGUACUACUAUUAUUCUUUAUAACCUAUUUUCAAAUUUCUAAUUAUCAAUUAAUAAUUUUUAAAAUGAAUUUUUUAAAGUGCAAAAAAUAUUUUAAUUGAGUUAUUUUUAAUUUUUAGUAGAAGUAACAAUUAAUAACAAAUAUAAGUAAUGACAUGUAAUAAAAUUUUUAGUUUUAAUAAAAGCUAAUAUUUUAUUUGAAAUGUUAUCCUUAGCUGCAAUAUUUUAAAAAAAAAUUUUUUUGUUCUCUACUUUACCAGAUGUAAUAAGUUGUCCUGAACUUUUCCACCUCUACUUUUCCAGGUUUAUAAUCUUAAGAAUAUAAUUUCUCUUGCUCACAUUUUUCCAUGUAAUAUAUGUAUGUAUCUACCCAUCUCAUGGGAAGACCAGCCCAUCACACCUAGAGAAGAUUCAUUCACCAAGGCUCAAGAAUCCGUUCUCAUUUCAGCAAAACUGAGAUUCAAGAAAUACUAUACAUGUGUAUGUAGUGUAAUCUAUGUAGUAGAUAUAUAAACAAGGUAAACUUAGUUAUUUCUCCAUUGACUGUAAAAAGUGAUGAACAGCUUUAAUCAAUUUUUGAAUUUUAUUGGGUUCUUACCACAAGUGUCUACUUCUUUUUUACCAAUCCCAGAGAAAUUAGCAGCCACACUGUUUAUAUACUCAACAAAUCUGGUAGCUACAGAGAGCUGGAGCUACUAAUUUGCAUAUCAUAAGUGUCUAACACUUCAUGUUAUACCAGUAGUCUAUCAACAGGAAUUUCAGUCCUCAUAGUGUCAGGUUAUAGUAUAAUAUAUGUAGCCUAUAUAUAUACAUGUAUACACACACACACACACAUGUACAUAGUCUCAGGAAGAUGUGGGACAAAGUGGGGAGAAAGGACCUUCAGACUUUUAGCCUCACAGAGGAGAUGACAGAGGACUAAUACUUCUAGCAGUUUGCUGUGCUUGAGAAGAUACAUCAAGCUAAGUAAGAUCAUGGCUGUCCAUACAUACAGGCAUGUCCUCUGUGUCCCUUCCUCAGCUGAAAGAUGUUAGCCUUGCAGGCUCAUGAGUACUGGUGCCACAUAAAAGCACCCAUGCUGGUGUCAUGUAAAAGUACCUGUGCAGGUGUCAUAAAAGCACUCAUGCCAGUACCACAUAAAAGUGCCCAUACCAAUUCCUGUAAAGUGGCUGGUGUUAGAAAGGGCAUCUAGCCAUAGAAACUAUGCCAAAACAGACAAAAUGGAGCCUGUCUAAUUCCUGUCAAACCAUCCAACUCAUGCCAGCAUAGAGAACAGAUAUUAAAUGAUGAUGAUGAUGAUGAUGAUGAUGGUGACGGCGACGAUGAUAAUAUUCAUUUAGGUGCCCUAGCCUAAUUUCCCUUUCAAGCCUUCCCCACCACCCAUCAUCUCUCUAUCACUGAUGUUUUCAUUACCUUUAUAACUGCAGUAUUCUGUUACUGUAAUUAAAUGAGAAGAGAACUGCAUAUCGCAUCAACUUUUUGGGUGAUACCAGUUAUCUUUCUCACUUCCUGGAACUACUUCACUCAUAGUCCAUCUUUCAUUCAUAAAACUGUCCCUCUCCACCUACAUUUUACAUUGAUUACCCAUCUGUGCAACCAAAUUAUCUCUCCUUUUCAACCACUAUACAUUUCUCACUCUCCACACACUAUGCCUGCCUCUUCUAUAACUAUGUGCAGCCUACCUUCCCUACCUUAUAUGUAUCAUUAAUCACUCCUCCAUCUUUGUCCACCAUCCACUACAUACACACCUCAACUCAACUCAGUCUUUACUAUCAUCAUCUACUUUUCCUUACCUUCCCUCCAACUCACACUCCUUUUUCAUCAUUCAUUAUAUUUGUUCCAUCACCCAUUACCCAUCUCUCUCCCAAUACAUUCUCAGGGCUUCUACCUACCCACACUCCUUGUUCUUCUGUCCCUGCUCACUCCUGUUUACAUGGUAUAUUGAGGGUCUGGUAUGUUCUGUCACUUUCUUUCAUAAUUUAACCUCUCGUUUCCAAGCAUAAAGCUGCCUUUUCCUCUGUUUCAGUCACUCAAGAUGGAUUUUAAUCCUGUGUGCUGCAUGGCAACCUCAUUAGUGCUGGUGCCAUGAAAAAAAAAACACCCAGUAAAUUUUAUAAAGUGAUUGAUAUUAGGAAGAGGAUCCAGCUGAAGAAAUGAUGUUGAAGCAUAGACCAGAGCAUGAUACAAUCCUUGGACCUGUCAACCUUUCUAACAUAUGCCACCAUGGAAAGUGGAUGUUAAAAGAUGAUGAUAAUAAUGAUAAUGAUAGUGGUGAUGGUGAUGAUGAUGAUGAUGAUGAUGAUGAUAUAUAUAUAUAUAUAUAUGGUAACCCAGGUUCGAAUCCUGGUCACGGCAGCCUCCCUAUUAUUUAAUGGCGGUGCCCCAGCAUGGCCACAGCUCAUGAGCUGAAACUGGAAAAAUCAAAAUCAAAAAAUAUAGAGAGAUAGAUAGAUAGAUAGAUAGAUAGAUAGAUAGAUAUAGAUACACACACAUGCACACAUUCAUACAUGCAUAUACAUGCUCUAGAGGCUAGUAUGUUCCACUAGAUGUGUAAUGUAGAUAUAUAUAUAUGCAACAGAGUGCUAGUGUAUUGAGCAGAAAUAUUAAGGCCAUGAAGAGGAUUGGCCCACAAAAGUCCCAGUCCCAUGUAAAAAGCACCGGUGCCAGUGCUAUGUAAAAGUACUCAUGCUGGUGCCACAUUGAAAGUACCCACCACACACUGUAAAGUGGUUGGUGUUAGGAAGGGCAUCUGGCUAUAGUAACCAAGCCAAAUCAGACUGAAACCUGGUGUAGCUCUUCUGCUUGCCAGCUCUUGUCAAACCAUCCAACCCAUAUAAGCAUGGAAAGCAGAUGGUAAAUGAUGAUGAUGAUGAUGAUGAUGGUGAUGGUGAUGUUACGCCUUUUGAUGUCAAAUACCAGACUUCCUCUCGUAUUUGGAUGAAAAAAAAGCACAACCUGUUUUAAAGUAUUCAUAUAUAAUUAAACCUGUCCUCCAUAAUUUUAUGUUAAAACUUUUUGCAAUGUUCCCAACUUAAUUAUUUUAUUCAGUCCAUAUAGAUAGUUGAUCAUUUUAAAAAUAAAUUAAUAUCAAUGAAAUGAUGGUAACCAGAAAGUUUUAACUUAAAAUGGUUUUUAACUUAAUAUGAUUUUUCUACACAUCGACUUAAAAUUUCUAACCAAGACCAGCUUACUGUUUAUUUUUCAUGACUUAUAUUAACCAGUAUGUCUUUUCUUUUCCAAGAUGGUAGGAAUUUAGCCAGUAUCUUUAGCUGCUUGAAUGACCUCAUUGAAGCUCUCCUACUAGCUUAUCAAAAUAAAUAGUACAUACACAUAGUGAUUAAAUUAUAACUGCAACUCUUGAUUUCCAGAGUGCUCUUACAUAAUUUUUAAUUGGUGGUUUAUGUACAAUGCAUACAUUAUUUCUCUCUCUCACACACACAUGCAUAUACUAGGUCUGUCUAUAGUUUUGCAAAAAUCCAUUUAUUCAUUGUUCCUAUCAUGAAAUAUUUUUGGUAGAGCUCAAUUUGGACAUGAAAAAGUACUUUGUCUGAUUAUUACUAUUUUUUUUACACAUUUAAUUUCUCAAAUAAAGAUUCUUUGAUGAACUAUUUG
rnacentral:lncRNA from 1 species